rnacentral:tRNA from 1 species
GUAUUGAAAGUAAAAAUUUACUUUUUAGGAGUUCCCGUCGUGGCGCAGUGGUUAACGAAUCCGACUAGGAAACAUGAGGUUGUGGGUUCGGUCCCUGCCCUUGCUCAGUGGGUUAACGAUCCGGCGUUGCCGUGAGCUGUGGUGUAGGUUGCAGACCCGGCUCGGAUCCCGCGUUGCUGUGGCUCUGGCGUGGGCCGGUGGCUACAGCUCCGAUUCAGCCCCUAGCCUGGGAACCUCCAUAUGCCGCGGGAGCGGCCCAAGAAAUAGCAAAAACAACAACAACAACAAAGAGAGACAAAAGACAAAAAAAAAAAAAAAAAAAAAAUUUACUUUUUAAAAGUGAUUCCCAGAGUUGCCUGGUGGCACAGUAGGUUAAGGGUCUGGAAUUGUCACUUCUGUGGCUCAGGUCACUGCUGUGGCAUGAGUUCAGUCCCUGGCCUGGGAACUUUGACAUGCCACAAAUGCAGCCAAAAAGGAAAAGUGACUCCCUACAUUUCCCAAUUGCCCAGUCUCCUUGUGUUUGGAAUCAUACAUGAUAUAAAAACUCUAUUAUAUCUUAAUAUUCUACUAGAAUUUUCCUAAGAUAUGGAACAUACUGGGAGCUCUCUGGUGGCUCAGUGGGUUAAGGGUCCAGCAUUGUCACUGCUGUGGUGCAGGUUCAGUCCCUGGCCUGGGAACUUCCCAAGGCCAAAGGUGUGGCCAAAAAAAAAAAAAACAGAUAGGGAAUGUACCUUUGUGUGAAUAUACAUUUGUUCAUUUAUCAACAAAUACUCAUUGAAGGCCAGGCACUGUUCUAGGUGAUAGGAAUACAGCAGUGAAUGAAGCAAAGUUCCUACUCUUACGGAGCUUACAUUCCCAGGGAGAGGAAGGAAAUACACAAACAGGAAAUUGUGUAAUAUUACAGGGACUGUUAAUGGAAUCAGAAACAUCUCCAAACUCAGAAGCAAGCAUCAGAGGCAGACAGAAAGAACUUAAAAAUUUGCCCUCUCAUUCUGUUCUUCAGAAUUUGAUUUCAUUAAUCACUAAGCCUACUUUAUUUGACAUGGAUAAGAAUCUCUUAUAAAUUGAUAAAUGGUCAGAAGAUAGUGACUAUAAUCAGAUAUUCUCACAUGAAAAUCAAGUUUAAAAUAAAUAUGUGAAAAAUGUGUUUGUCCCAACUAGUAACUUACAAAGUAGCAACAAUUUAAACUAACAACACUUAUGAUUUGAACCUAGCCAGAACCCAGAUUGGGACUUGAACCCAUGGUUUUCAAAUUGGAAUCACUCACCUGGUGUCUGGACUUACUGAGAUUCAAGUUCUUUGUGCCUCAGUACAGAAGGAAUUCAAUGAGAGACAAAGUGAUAGGCAAGAAAUAGAUUUAUUAAGAUAAGACCCUUGUGAGAGAUGCAAACCGGCAGGCAAGGAGACUCUGCUCUGUGGACUAGGUGGGCUACCUUUCUAUAAUCCUAGGGAAGUGUGGAAAAGACCACUUCUUCCUUCAUAUCUGGUAAGAGAGUAUUUGACCCUAUAGGGUCAAACUAGGACUGUCAAUGGGUUGUUUUGUUUUGUUUUGUCUUGUUUGUCUUUUUAGGGCUGCACCUGAGGCAUAUGAAAGUUCCUAGGCUAGGAUUCCAAUCUAAGCUGUAGCUGCCCACCUACACCACAGCCAUAGCAAUGCAGGAUCCAAGCCGUGUCUGUGACCUACACCACAGCUCAUGGCAAUGCCAGACCCUUAAUCUACAGAGUGAGGCCAGGGACUGAACCCAAGACCUCAGGAAUACUAGUUGGGUUUGUUACUGCUGAGCCAUGAUGGGAAUUCCCAAGGUGCUUACUCAAAUUGCAGAAGGGUGGUCCUUAAACUCCUAACGUUGGUCAUAAGGGUAAUGACCUGAGGCAUAUCUUGUGCUUUUAUUUUAUUUCAGCCUGCUUCGUUCUGAUGGCUUUCUUCAGCAGUUGUUAACUUACACAGUCAUCUCCCAAAGUUCCCUAGGUUUCCCUCUCUACCUGUGGUCCCCUAUUGGAGACAGAAGCUUAUUUGACAGAAGCUUAUGAAGAUAAUACUUGAUUCUGAUUAGGGUUUCCUGCAACAGUUUUUUUGUCUGUGUGGUGGUGGUUUUUAAAAUAUAUAGUUUUAAAAGCCGGAAAGAUUAAUAAUGAUAUCUCUGAUUCUUUUUUUUUAAUUUUCUAUAUUUUCUGCAAAUAUAAUGUGUUGAUUUUAUAGUCAGAAAAACACACCGUACAGCCAUUAUUUUAUUACAGUUAUUUUUUCGAAGGCCCCGGUUACCCUAUCAAGUGACACUUUUUGGCUUUGACCUAUAGGUGUUCCCUGUGGCACAUGUAUGCAAUGGCACAAAUAAGAUGACAUUAAUUAACCCCCAAGGAGUGAAGCUCGAUAUCUACAAGCAAAAAGUGGAACAGGCCAUUAAGUCCUAUGAAAAGCGCUUGAAUAAAAUUGUUUGGCGAGCAUUAUCUCAAGAAGAAAAAAAAAAGUAAGCCAGUUCAUUCUCUCUUUUAAAAUUUUUAAAAAUUUUGGUGAAGGAGUUCCCAUCAUGGUGCAGCAGAGAUGAAUCUGAUUAGGAAGCAUGGGGUUGCGGGUUCGAUCCCUGGCAUCUCUCAGUGGGUUAAGGAUCUGGUGUUGCCGUGAGCUGUGGUGUAGGUCACAGAUGUGGCUUGGAUCCUGUGUUGCUGUGGCUAUGGUGUAGGCUGGCAACCAUAGCUCCAUUUGGACCCCUAGCCUGGGAAUCUCCAUAUGCCAGGGGUGUGGCCCUAAAAAACAAAAACAAAACAACAACAAAAAAUUCCUGAAAUUCACAUCAUGUUCUGUUUUUAACUGUUUUUAAAUGUACGAUUCAGUGUGGUAUUUAAGUUAUUCAAAAGGUUGUGCAAACCACCACCUCUUUGGGGAGUUCCCUGCUAGUCUAGUGCGUUUUCACUGAUGCAGCCCAGGUGGGUUCAGUUGCUGGUCUGGGAACUGAGAUCCCACUUUGAACUGCUGCAUGCCAUAACCCCUCCCCCUGCACAAAAGUAGUUUCAAUACUUUUUUAUCAUCUCAGUAACCAUCUGGUACCCAAUUAGAUAAUCCUCCCUCAUUCCCCUCUCCUCCUCUGGUAACCACCAAUCUGCUUUCUGUCUCUGUGAAUUUGCACAUUCUGGAUAUAUACUAUGAAAGGAAUCAUAUAUCAUGUGAUCUUUUGUAUCUGGCUUCUUUUAGUUAGUUAAUGUAAAAAGUUAAUGUUUUCAAGUUUCAUCCAAGUUGUAGCAUAUGUAACAUUUCCUUCUUAUUUAUGCCUGAGUAAUAAUCUAGUGUAUGUAUAUACAGCCUGUGAUAAACAGUCUGUUUAUCCACUCUCCCAUAGAAGGACAUUUGACUUGUUUCUACUGUACAGCUGGUAUGAACAAUGCUGCAACAUACAUUCAUGUAGAAGUUUCUGUGUGGAUGUUUGUUUUCUAUUUCUUUUGAGUACAUAGCUAGCAGUAGAUUUUCUGGGUCACAGGUUUAAUUCUAUGUUUAACAUAUUGAGCCAAGUAUUUUCAGUGCCUGCAUCUUUUUACAUCCCCCCUCACACAUACAGCAAUGUACAAUGAUUCUUUUUUUUUCCACAUCUUUGCCAACACUUGUUAUUUUCCUAUUUUAAAACAACUAAAGUCAGGAGUUCCCAUUGUGGUGCAGCAGAAAUGAAUCUGACUAUGAACCAUGAGGUUGUGGGUUCGAUCCCUGGCCUUGAUCAGUGGGCUAAGGAUCCAGCGUUGCUGUGAGCUGUGGUGUAGGUCACAGACAUGGCUUGGAUCUGGCGUUACUGUCCCUGUGGCAUAGGCCAGCAGCUCUACAGCUCCAGUUUGAUCCUUAGCCUGGGAACCUCCAUGUACCAUGGGUGCGGCCCUAAAAAAAAAAAAAAAAAA